AGAGAUAGUAGACCGUAUAGCGUACGCUUUAUCUGUGACGUAUGUAACACGGUCCACUAACCCU
rfam:Myotis lucifugus cont2.47294, whole genome shotgun sequence.